rnacentral:rRNA from 1 species
CGUGUAGGCGGUCAGGUAAGUGGAAUGUGAAAUGCCCCGGCUCACCCGGGGACCGGCAUCCCAAACUGCCUGGCUUGAGUAUGGGAGAGGAUGGAGGAAUUCCUGGUGUAGCGGUGAAAUGCGUAGAUAUCAGGAGGAACACCGGUGGCGAAGGCGUCCAUCUGGCCCAAUACUGACGCUGAGACGCGAAAGCGUGGGGAGCAAACA